UGGGGAAUAUUGCACAAUGGGGGAAACCCUGAUGCAGCAACGCCGCGUGAGUGAAGAAGUAUUUCGGUAUGUAAAGCUCUAUCAGCAGGGAAGAUAAUGACGGUACCUGACUAAGAAGCUCCGGCUAACUACGUGCCAGCAGCCGCGGUAAUACGUAGGGAGCAAGCGUUGUCCGGAUUUACUGGGUGUAAAGGGUGCGUAGGCGGCUUUGCAAGUCAGAUGUGAAAUCUAUGGGCUCAACCCAUAAACUGCAUUUGAAACUGUAGAGCUUGAGUGAAGUAGAGGCAGGCGGAAUUCCCCGUGUAGCGGUGAAAUGCGUAGAGAUGGGGAGGAACACCAGUGGCGAAGGCGGCCUGCUGGGCUUUAACUGACGCUGAGGCACGAAAGCGUGGGUAGCAAACAGGAUUAGAUACCCUGGUAGUCCACGCUGUAAACGAUGAUUACUAGGUGUGGGGGGUCUGACCCCUUCCGUGCCGGAGUUAACACAAUAAGUAAUCCACCUGGGGAGUACGGCCGCAAGGUUGAAACUCAAAGGAAUUGACGGGGGCCCGCACAAGCAGUGGAGUAUGUGGUUUAAUUCGAAGCAACGCGAAGAACCUUACCAGGUCUUGACAUCCAACUAACGAAGUAGAGAUACAUUAGGUGCCCUUCGGGGAAAGUUGAGACAGGUGGUGCAUGGUUGUCGUCAGCUCGUGUCGUGAGAUGUUGGGUUAAGUCCCGCAACGAGCGCAACCCUUGCUAUUAGUUGCUACGCAAGAGCACUCUAAUAGGACUGCCGUUGACAAAACGGAGGAAGGUGGGGACGACGUCAAAUCAUCAUGCCCCUUAUGACCUGGGCUACACACGUACUACAAUGGAUGUUAACAGAGGGAAGCAAGACAGUGAUGUGGAGCAAACCCCUAAAAACAUUCUCAGUUCAGAUUGCAGGCUGCAACCCGCCUGCAUGAAGAUGGAAUUGCUAGUAAUCGCGGAUCAGCAUGCCGCGGUGAAUACGUUCCC
rnacentral:rRNA from 1 species